rnacentral:tRNA from 1 species
GUUGGCGCCGGCCGGCGGUUCGUUGCUGCCGGCGUCGGUGCCGCUGCCGGCGUCGGUGCCGGUCGUGGUGUCCGAUCCGCCAGCGUCGGUACC